rnacentral:rRNA from 1 species
AUGCCGCGGCCGGCGCAGCCCGAGCCCGAGCCGCCGCAGCCCGGCGGCGAGACGCCGCCCAUCCACCGCCUCCUCGAGCUGAUCAAGUCCGAGCCCGACCCAGCCUCCGCGCUCGCCCACCUGGAGCUCCUCGUCUCCACCUGGCCGGCCUACACGCCGCCCCAGCCGCUCCUCUUCCACCUGCUGCGCCGCCUCGCCACCUCCGCCCCGGCCCGCCUCCCGCGCCUCCUCGGCCUCCUCCCGAGCCUCCGCCACCGCCCGCGCUUCUCCGAGCCCGCCGCGCUCGUCGUCCUCUCCGCCUUCUCCCGCGCGCUCAUGCCCGACGCCGCGCUCGCCGCCUUCCGCCGCCUCCCUGCCUUCCUCGGCUGCAACCCGGGCGUCCGCUCCCAUAACGCCCUCCUCGACGCUCUCGUGCGGGCCCGUCGCUUCUCCGACGCUGACGCCUUCUUCGCGUCCCUCUCCCAUGGCGCCUUCGGGCGCCGCAUUGCCCCCAACCUCCAGACUUACAACAUCAUCCUCCGCUCCCUCUGCGGACGUGGGGACCUAGACCGAGCUCUGAUGCUCUUUGACUCCGUUCGCCGCCGCGGAGUUGCUCCAGACCGCGUCACCUACUCCACUCUCAUGUCUGGGCUUGUCAAACACAGCCGCUUGGACAUGGCACUUUACCUGCUCGACGAAAUGCCGACCUAUGAAGUGCAGCCUGAUGCGGUUUGUUACAAUGCAGUGCUCCGAGGGUGUUUCAGGAAUGGUGAGUUUGAGAAAGCUAUGCGGGUGUGGGAGCAGCUGGUGAGAGAUCCUGGUUCAAGUCCCAACCCCUCCACUUACAAUGCGAUGCUUGAUGGCUUGUGUAAACUUGGGAGGUUUAAGGAGGCGGGUGAGGUAUGGGAGAGGAUGAUUGCAAAUAAUCACCAAGUCGGCAUGAUUACCUAUGGGAUUCUGAUUCACGGUUUGUGCCGGUCACGGGAUGUGGAUGGUGCAGCAAGGGUAUAUUCAGAGAUGAUCAAGACUGGGCUUGUUCCUGAUGUUGCCAUAUAUAAUUCACUCAUCAAGGGGUUCUGCCAAGCUGGGAGAGUAGGAGAGGCUUGGAAAUUCUGGGACUCUACCAGUGUUUCUGGCAUCCGUAAUGUGAUAACGUAUAAUAUAAUGCUGAAGGGGCUCUUUGAUGGUGGCAUGGUCGAUGAAGCUAGAGAAUUGUGGGAGCUAUUGGAGAAAGACACUUCGUCCUCUCCUGACAUGGUGAGUUUUGGCACUAUGAUCCAUGGGUUAUGUGAGAAAGGCUUUGCUAACAAGGCACUUCAAAUCUUAGUGGAAGCACAGACCAGUGGUAAAAAAUUAGAUGCAUUCUCAUAUUCAUCCAUGAUAAGUGGACUGUGCAAUGAUGGGAGACUAGACGAUGCAGUUAAGUUAUAUGAAAAGAUAUCUAUGGAUGGCUGCAAACUGAAUCCUCAUAUUUACAAUGCACUAAUAAAAGGGUUCUGCCAAGCAUCUAAGUUUAGUGAUGCUGUAAGAAUAUACGGCGAGAUGGCAAACAAUGGUUGUUCUCCUACUGUCAUCACUUACAACACUCUAAUAGAUGGACUAUGUAAGGCUGAAAAGUAUCAAGAUGCUUCAAGCUUUACAAAAGAAAUGUUGGAGAAAGGUUGUAAACUAGAUGUCAAUACUUAUGCUUCAUUGAUUUGUGGCCUUUGUAGAGACAAAAAGGUUGAUGCUGCCCUUGCUCUGUGGAAUCAAAUUCUUGAUAAGGGUCUUCAGGCAGAUGUCAUGAUGCACAACAUUUUAAUCCAUGGUCUUUGUUCUGCUGGGAAAGUAGAUGAAGCUUCACGUUUUCUCUCUGAGAUGAAAGAGAAGAAUAACUGCCGCCCAAAUCUAGUGACCUAUAACACACUCAUGGAUGGAUUUUAUGAAAUGGGUUGUUUUGACAAAGCAGCGUCUCUGUGGACAGCUAUUUUAGAAAAUGGUCUGGUACCUGAUAUAAUUUCAUAUAAUACAAGAAUUAAGGGUCUAUGCUCUUGUCACAGAACACCUGAGGGUGUCCAAUUAUUGGAUGAGGUGCUUGCACAAGGAAUUGUACCAACAGCCAUCACGUGGAAUAUACUGGUCAGAGCUGUCAUCAAAUAUGGACCUAUUCAAAUAUGA